AGGUGUGUGUAUCUGUGUGUCAGUGUGUGUAUCUGUGUGCCACUAUGUGCCAGUGUGUGUGUGUAUCUGUGUGUCAGAUACAUACACAUAGAUACACAUUGGCACACAGAUGCACACACUGGCACAUGCAAACAUAGA